GAUGAACGCUGGCGGCGUGCCUAAUACAUGCAAGUCGAGCGAACAGAUGAGGAGCUUGCUCCUCUGACGUUAGCGGCGGACGGGUGAGUAACACGUGGAUAACCUACCUAUAAGACUGGGAUAACUUCGGGAAACCGGAGCUAAUACCGGAUAAUAUAUUGAACCGCAUGGUUCAAUAGUGAAAGACGGUUUUGCUGUCACUUAUAGAUGGAUCCGCGCCGCAUUAGCUAGUUGGUAAGGUAACGGCUUACCAAGGCAACGAUGCGUAGCCGACCUGAGAGGGUGAUCGGCCACACUGGAACUGAGACACGGUCCAGACUCCUACGGGAGGUAGCAGUAGGGAAUCUUCCGCAAUGGGCGAAAGCCUGACGGAGCAACGCCGCGUGAGUGAUGAAGGUCUUCGGAUCGUAAAACUCUGUUAUUAGGGAAGAACAAAUGUGUAAGUAACUAUGCACGUCUUGACGGUACCUAAUCAGAAAGCCACGGCUAACUACGU
rnacentral:rRNA from 1 species